rnacentral:miRNA from 1 species
GAUCAGGCCUAACCCUCUGGCCCCAAACCCUGUGGCCCCAGCUGGAGGAUGAGGAGAUGCUGGGCUUGAAUGGGGGAAUCAGGGGGAUAAAGGGACCUGCU